rnacentral:rRNA from 2 species
GUUCAAGCGGUAGGAGAGCGUCGUAACCGGGCUGAAGUCGUACCGUAAGGAGCGGUGGACUGGUUACGAGUGAGAAUGUUGGCAUCAGUAGCGAGAUGUGGGUGAGAAUCCCACAGGCCGAAAACCUAAGGUUUCCUCAGGAAGGUUCGUCCGCUGAGGGUUAGUCGGGACCUAAGCCGAGGCCGAAAGGCGUAGGUGAUGGACAACUGGUUGAUAUUCCAGUACCACUACCAUCGUUAUUAUCGAUGGCGUGACGCAGGAGGAUAGUGUGUGCUAGCUAUUGGAUGCUAGUCUAAGCGUUUAGGCAGUGAGAGUAGGCAAAUCCGCUCUCAUAAUGCUGAGGCGUGAUGGGGAAGGUUCUACGGAACCGAAGUACAUGAUUCCACGCUGCCAAGAAAAGCGUCUAGAGAGAGAAGUAGUGCCCGUACCGCAAACCGACACAGGUAGGUGAGGAGAGAAUCCUAAGGCCGGCGGAAGAAUUACAGUUAAGGAACUCGGCAAAUUGACCCCGUAAGUUCGCGAGAAGGGGUGCCUACGAGAGUAGGCCGCAGAGAAUAGGCCCAAGCAACUGUUUAGCAAAAACACAGGUCUCUGCUAAAGCGUAAGCUGAUGUAUAGGGGCUGACGCCUGCCCGGUGCUGGAAGGUUAAGGGGAACACUUAGCGCAAGCGAAGGUGUGAACUUAAGCCCCAGUAAACGGCGGCCGUAACUAUAACGGUCCUAAGGUAGCGAAAUUCCUUGUCAGGUAAGUUCUGACCCGCACGAAUGGCGUAAUGACUUGGGCACUGUCUCAACUGUAAAUCCGGCGAAGUUGUAGUGCGAGUGAAGAUGCUCGCUACCCGCGAUUGGACGGAAAGACCCCGUAGAGCUUUACUGUAGCUUAGCAUUGAGUUUUGGUAUUGUCUGUACAGGAUAGGUGGGAGACUAGGAAACCAGGGCGUCAGCCUUGGUGGAGUCAACCUUGGGAUACCACCCUGACAGUACUGAAAUUCUAACUGGCGGCCAUGAAUCUGGUCACAGGACAUUGUUAGGUGGGCAGUUUGACUGGGGCGGUCGCCUCCUAAAAAGUAACGGAGGCGCCCAAAGGUUCCCUCAGAACGGUCGGAAAUCGUUCGAAGAGUGCAAAGGCAGAAGGGAGCCUGACUGCGACACCCACAAGUGGAGCAGGGACGAAAGUCGGGCUUAGUGAUCCGGUGGUACCUCGUGGGAGGGCCAUCGCUCAACGGAUAAAAGCUACCUCGGGGAUAACAGGCUGAUCUCCCCCAAGAGUCCACAUCGACGGGGAGGUUUGGCACCUCGAUGUCGGCUCGUCGCAUCCUGGGGCUGAAGUAGGUCCCAAGGGUUGGGCUGUUCGCCCAUUAAAGCGGCACGCGAGCUGGGUUCAGAACGUCGUGAGACAGUUCGGUCCCUAUCCGUCGCGGGCGUAGGAAAUUUGAGAGGAGCUGUCCUUAGUACGAGAGGACCGGGAUGGACUGACCUCUGGUGUACCAGUUGUUCCGCCAGGAGCACAGCUGGGUAGCUAAGUCGGGAAUGGAUAAACGCUGAAAGCAUCUAAGCGUGAAGCCAACCUCAAGAUGAGAUUUCCCAUAGCGUAAGCUAGUAAGAUCCCUUGAAGAACACAAGGUUGAUAGGUCGGGGGUGUAAGCAUGGUAACAUGUUCAGCUGACCGAUACUAAUAGAUCGAGGGCUUGACCAA